rfam:Triticum aestivum genome assembly, contig: Triticum_aestivum_CS42_TGACv1_scaffold_436452_5DL
GUCGUACUCCCUCCGUCCGAAAAUACUUAUCGGAAGAAUGAAUUUAUCUAGACGUGUUUUAAUUUUAAAUACAUCUAUUUGUAUGCAUUUCUUUAACAAGUAUUUUCGAACAGAGGGAGUACGUA